ACAGCAGCCGCCGCGGGAAUACGUAGGUGGCAAGCGUUGUCCGGAAUUAUUGGGCGUAAAGGGCUCGCAGGCGGUUUCUUAAGUCUGAUGUGAAAGCCCCCGGCUCAACCGGGGAGGGUCAUUGGAAACUGGGAAACUUGAGUGCAGAAGAGGAGAGUGGAAUUCCACGUGUAGCGGUGAAAUGCGUAGAGAUGUGGAGGAACACCAGUGGCGAAGGCGACUCUCUGGUCUGUAACUGACGCUGAGGAGCGAAAGCGUGGGGAGCGAACAGGAUUAGAGACCCCAGUAGUCCCUGUCUCUUAUAC
rnacentral:rRNA from 1 species